AGAGUUUGAUCAUGGCUCAGAUUGAACGCUGGCGGCAGGCUUAACACAUGCAAGUCGAGCGGUAACAGGGGGAGCUUGCUCCCCGCUGACGAGCGGCGGACGGGUGAGUAAUGCUUAGGAAACUGCCCAGUAGUGGGGGAUAGCCCGGGGAAACCCGGAUUAAUACCGCGUACGCCCUUCGGGGGAAAGCAGGGGAUCUUUGGACCUUGCGCUAUUGGAUGUGCCUAAGUCGGAUUAGCUAGUUGGUGGGGUAAAGGCCUACCAAGGCGACGAUCCGUAGCUGGUCUGAGAGGAUGAUCAGCCACAUCGGGACUGAGACACGGCCCGAACUCCUACGGGAGGCAGCAGUGGGGAAUAUUGGACAAUGGGGGCAACCCUGAUCCAGCCAUGCCGCGUGUGUGAAGAAGGCUUUCGGGUUGUAAAGCACUUUCAGUGAGGAGGAAGGCUGUAAGGUUAAUACCCUUGCAGAUUGACGUUACUCACAGAAGAAGCACCGGCUAACUCCGUGCCAGCCGCCGCGGUAAUUC
rnacentral:rRNA from 1 species